CUCUACAUAGGCUAAGGUCAGACUCCAGGCCACCAUUACUACCCUACAACAGGAGCUUGAGCAGCAGAGAGAGGAGCACCACAAAGAGCUUUCAGCUCUCCAGCAGACAUGUGGGCAGUUGCUGAAGGUGUCAAAUUAGAUCUCCAGCAGCUAGCGUAACUCUCAAGAGCAGCUGAGCCAGCGGCUGCAACAGGCCCCGAGACCAGCAUGAGGAGGCUAGAUCUACCUCUACUCGCCUACACGCUGAGCUUCACAGCAAAGAACAGCUCCUACAGAGUGCUAAUGCGUUCCUGCUAAUCAAGGAGUCAGAGAUCACCCGUCUUCAAGCCAAGCUCUCCAGAUUCAAAAGGGCCACAGAGCUACACAGCAUCACACUUCAUCACAAACCCAGCACUCCUCCCCCUCUCUCUACUCCUCUCAAAGACUAUA